AUUGGAACAAGGACCAGCAGAAGAGGAGGAAAAGCAAAUAUGGGUCUUUACUGCAGACCCAGAGCAGCAAGAAGAGAUACAUGUCUGAAAGAGGAAGCAGUUUAUAAACUUAGUUUUUUAUUCCAGUCCAGAGGUGUUUAGUGUAAGUGAUGUUUUACAUAAUGACUUCAAACUCAUUUACAUCUUUAUAAAUUCAGCUAGAAAUGGUGGUAGGAUCUGUACAAGCUCUAUGCUGGGUUAAGGUUGCCCAAGAGCUAAAGCUCACGCUGGAUACAUUUACCUCUGUUUCUAAUUAAGGUGCCUCGUGUUGAUCCCCUCAAAGGUGAGUCCUCUCUGCAUCUGGACCUAAGCUGCUUUGUCAGAAGCAAAGCACUGCACCUGUCUAUUAGAAGUGAAGACUGCAUAUUUCCUUCCCAACAUCAACACAAGAAACCAAGCAACAGGGGUUCUCACCCUCCGAGAUGCUCGAGUCGUGGAACAUGGUUUCAAAGGCCUGGUGGGUCUCAGCAAAGGAAGGUCGGUCAGGCGGGUUCCACUUCCAACCUGCAGUGUGAGAGCGCAGAGUAAGUCUCAAUGCCUGUAGCAGCUAAAGAGUGGCCAAGUGGAAGCGGGUACCUGUCAACUGGCCAGAUUUCCAGACUGAAAUGUCACUACAGAGGAAUGUGAAGCACUCCCAUGUGUGCUAGCUGGGUAAGCCAUCAGCAUGGUGGGACCUACUCCUGAAGCAGCAUUCUCCCACAUUCCUCAGAUGACUCCUUGCUACAGUCACUGCAAUCAUGUACAAAGUAUGUUAUUAGUGGAGGAGGAGGGCAACAGGAUACUCAUGUCAAAUCUGUGAACUCCCACUGCAGCACUGCUGGAUUCCUGCUGAUACUGUUAUCUACAUUCAGUAGUAAAACGUGACUACACUGCGUAUCAGAAAGAGCAAAAAUGCAUCUCUGAUGAGCAAUCUUUUUAGUGUCUACUGCUGGAACCAGACAGGGCUAGGCAGACACUUCAUCUGUGUCCAUUUUUUAAAAAUGGGCACAGAAUAGGUGACAUUAUUAAAAUCCUUCACAUUCUUCACAUUUCUACUUUUAUCCUAGGCUUGGCUUGACAGCUUUGCUCCUGAAAGCAGCAAAAGUCCAGACGCAACCAAACACUAGUGAAGGUUUAAUGUGUCCCCUUAAGAAUCUUUGUACAUGUAGAAUUAACAGCUAUGCAGACUAUGUAUUAGUGAUCAUGGUACCAUGCACGUGCCGGUGAGAUAAACAGGGCACAGCCAAGCUGAAAAGCCUGCAGCUUUCUUCCACUCGUGCUGUUUGAUCUGACUUGCGUCUCCACUGCCUUGAUCUCAUGUACUUAUUUGGUGAUAACAUGAUGGUCCUUUGCAGCAGUAGUGAUCUGGCUGUCUUCUGCUCAGUUACAGAUUGAUUGCUUCUACUCACUGCAGCUUUUUCUAUAAAUGUCUCUGAGUUGAGAAUUACAAAGAACAGUAUUUGUUGUAUUUCCAUUGUAAUUUUUUUUUUUAACUUUGAGUUUUCUUGUUCUGUUCUAUCAGAAAAAUAACUAAUGGAAAAUAAUUUUAUAAAUCUUAGUUAACUAAGUAGAAAAAAAAUCUAACUUCACUGAUAUCUGAAUCCUGAAGAAUGGCUAAAGGCAAGGGUACAAUCUGACAGGAGACUGAUACUGCAAACUUUAUAUAAUGCAGUCAUGCAUCAGCAGCAAAGUUGCCUACUAAUGUAAGUGACCAUAUUUGAUGAUUUAUUUAAAAUUGGUGUCUCAAUACUAUACAAAGGAGUAAGCUAUCAAAAAUAUUACCUCAUAUCCUGACCUCAUUCAAAAAGUUAUAUAAAUACAUAAAAUCUGCCACUCCUUUUAAAGGAGAGGGAUUUCAUUUUGGCAGAAGCCUGAGUAAGAAUAGAAAGACCAA